rnacentral:lncRNA from 1 species
ACUGCUUCCACUCCAGCAUCUCUGCAAAUUCAAGUCGCUCAAAAGAGUUAAAAGGCUUUUUGGAGGAUGAACUACCAUAUAACUACCAUAUUCGAACAAUUUGUUGUUGGAUGAGCCAUACAUUAAUGUAGACAAUCUGACUCCCUGCUCAUCCUUUCAACUACACUGCCAAUUGCUGAUAAAUUGCAUUAGUGUUGACUAUCAAAAAGCAGAAGUAACAAGGAAUUUGAAAAUCAUGAUAUUACUUUUAUUUUGGAUCAGUGAAAAUCAAUAGAUCGAUUACUACUAAAAAGAACAAGAUUAUUUGCAAAAUCUCUUCAAGCAGUUUUUCUACAGGGAUAAAGCAGUUUUCCUAAGAGAAGGAAUGAAGGGACUAAUAGUUUUUGCAACAGAAAUAAAUGAUGCAUAGUAGUCUAGAAUAUUAGAAAAGACAAGCAAUUAAUAAACAAGCCAAGAGAAGCCUUGAAAAUUACAUAUGUCAGAGCGCCACUGUCGGAUCCUCACCAUGUGUCCAUGAAAUUGAGAGGGGAACUUCACAUAAGAAUGAACCUUGAAUAACUCUCUUCCCGGCUUUUCCUUCCCAUACAGAGCAACAAGAUCUAGUCUAAAAAACUUGGCAAAUCAUCAGAGAAUAAAUACUCAAAGAGGACGUAGUCUUUUCCCCUCAUUUAGUCAAACUGAGAAACAAGCCUUUAAUGUGAAACUCAAACUGUAAGGCACCUAAGAUCUACUGUUGGUAGCCGAUGGAGCUCAGAAAGAGACGAGGGAAGCCCUUCUUCCAGCAGUGAUAAAACUUAAUUCUCUUAGGAGACGAAUUUUGUGACAAAUUCUCUUGGGACAUAAGCAGUUAUCAAAAAGAACUCCAAGCUUAGGAGAACCAACUUUCAUUUUCUAUUUUUAAUAGAUAGGAGACAAAUUUUGUGUCGUGUAUACCUUUGAAUUCUAUUAGAGCUUCGCAUUCAAUAGUGGACUUGUGCAUUACUCUAAACCACCUCCUCCUUCAUCAACUUACUGAAAAGGGAAAGAACAAGAAUAUAUGAAUUGCAAUAAAGAUGAAAGUUCAAGCAAGACAUGAACUACAAAACUACAAGUAAGAUGAAGAGUGAGAUAUGUUUUCAGAAGAAUAUAUGAAUUGCAAUAUAUGUGCUAACUGCUUCCUAGAGCAAAUUAUUAGUCCUAUUUAUAAUAUGUUUGUAUCAUAAUGUAUAAAGAUUUCUGCAGUUGCAACAUAUAAGUAACUCUUUUGACAGCUAACCUUAAAUUUCAUUUCGAGCAAAGAUGCUUCCUCGGCUUCACUGUGCAAAUAGACGCUACACACUGCUCAACAAGAUAUAACGAAUAAAAGGAAUUAACACGCAAGCAAAGGUAAGUAGUAAAAACUUGAAAAACAACUACUGAAGGAGAGAACAACUUACAUUUAUUACAGUACUAUUUGAUUUAAUUGCUACAUGCAUUGCUCAUCAAUUCUAUCCAGUAUUCCCCCUUUUCGACUUCUAGACGUGGUUUGAGCAAUGGGCCAGAAGGGAUUGGAUAUUCAGACAAUUCUCGACAACAACAAUAUUGCUGUCAACUCCUGACAAUGCAAGUUUAAUUAUUUCCUAAAACUUUCGGAUGGUUGUCCCUGAUUAUGCGCGCGCGCGCGCACACACACACACACCAAAUUUAUAAUAGCGGAGAGCUACAACAUUUCGACAUACUGGAAAUGAAACUUCACGCAGUAGGAUGAAUCAUUCUUCUUAAUCAAGACAAGAAUAUUAUGAUGCUCAUGGUCGGGUUUAACUG